rnacentral:rRNA from 1 species
GAUGAACGCUGGCGGCGCGCCUAAUACAUGCAAGUCGAGCGAACAGAUGAGGAGCUUGCUCCUCUGACGUUAGCGGCGGACGGGUGAGUAACACGUGGAUAACCUACCUAUAAGACUGGGAUAACUUCGGGAAACCGGGGCUAAUACCGGAUAAUAUAUUGAACCGCAUGGUUCAAUAGUGAAAGACGGUUUUGCUGUCACUUAUAGAUGGAUCCGCGCCGCAUUAGCUAGUUGGUAAGGUAACGGCUUACCAAGGCGACGAUGCGUAGCCGACCUGAGAGGGUGAUCGGCCACACUGGAACUGAGACACGGUCCAGACUCCUACGGGAGGCAGCAGUAGGGAAUCUUCCGCAAUGGGCGAAAGCCUGACGGAGCAACGCCGCGUGAGUGAUGAAGGUCUUCGGAUCGUAAAACUCUGUUAUUAGGGAAGAACAAAUGUGUAAGUAACUAUGCACGUCUUGACGGUACCUAAUCAGAAAGCCACGGCUAACUACGUG